GAAAUGCGAUAAGUAAUGCGAAUUGCAGAAUUCAGUGAAUCAUCGAAUCUUUGAACGCACAUUGCGCCCGCUAGUAUUCUGGCGGGCAUGCCUGUCUGAGCGUCAUUUCAACCCUCAUUCCCGGCUUCGUGUCGGGGAUGGUGUUGGGGAUCGGCCUCCCGGUUGCGGGCGGCCGGCCCCGAAAUAGAGUGGCGACCACGCCGUAGCCUCCUCUGCGUAGUAGUGAAAACCUCGCAUGUGGAGAGCGGUGCGGCCUGCCGUAAAACCCCCAACUCUUCUAAGGUUGACCUCAGAUCAGGUAGGAAUACCCGCUGAACUUAAGC
rnacentral:misc_RNA from 1 species